rnacentral:rRNA from 1 species
GACCUUUGGUGGAGUUGAUGGGUUAGUCGCAAGACUCUACUCAUCACACUCUACCUUUUUGGGGUGAGUAUAAAGAAUAACAUCUCUAUACCCAGCCCCGCGUUACUGUGAAGAAAUUAGAGUGUUUAAAGCAGGCGUUAGCUUGAAUACGUGAGCAUGGAAUAACAAGAUUAAGCCAUCGGCUACUUGUUGGUUUGGAGACGUUGGUAAUGAUUAAUAGGGCCAGUUGGGGGCAUUAGUAUUUGGCAGUCAGAGGUGAAAUUCUUGGAUUUGCCAAAGACUAACUAGUGCGAAGGCAUU